rnacentral:lncRNA from 1 species
AGCACAUGAAGAAUGAUGCCAGUAAGGAAGCAGGUGCCUUUCUCUGCUUUCCUGGGCUCUCAGCUGAGGUUGACUUCAUUUUAGUGUAUUUUAUCUCACUUCCCUUUCUUAGGCUAGGCUGGCUGGCCAGUAAGCCUCAGGGAUCCUGUCUUCACCUCCCCAGCACCAAGGUCACAGACAAUAUGCCACUGCUCCUGGCUUUUUACAUAGAUGCUCAGGAUGGAAUUCAGGUUUUCAUGCUGUGUGCAAGAACUUUACCCCAGCUUCAGGCUGAAUCUUAGAGAACCUUAGUUGUACAUCAAAUCAGAGAGGAAGAAACGAGGUACAUUUUAGAAAAUCCACACAUUUAGAUAACCUCCAGCAGGAUGCAUGCUUAGAAUUCAAGGUAUGGCUUUAUGUCAUGAGGCUUUAGGUAUAGCAUGAGGGCUGGCUGGAUCGAGGCAUCCCUGUAAUUAUAGCAAGGCUGAGGCAGGAUGAUUUCAAGUUUGAGGUCACUCUAGGAUCCAAAUUCAAGCACUUUCCUUAGAUAAGAGUGUAGGUUGAGGGGAAUCACAGUACGGUAGGGCAUCUGAAAGCCUGGAAGAACUCUAGUCAUAGAAGUCUUAUGUUGUUAUUAGUAGCUUGGGCUACUAUGUGUUGGUGACAGGGUUGCUGCGGAAGUUUGGAGAUGAAGAGAUGUUUAGGUUUGUAAUUGGAAAAUUGUCAGGCUGUGGUGUGGAGAGGGUGGGUAACUGAGGCAGUGUUGGUAGUGUAACUGUUGCUGUUGAUAAACUGAGGAUUGGUGUGUGGACCAGCUACUGGCAGAGGGUCUGGAGGGCAUUGAGCGGAAGAGCACAUAGAGUGAAAAGUGAUGGGACUUGAGGGUUGGUCUUGUCAGUCGGGGAUGGGGAGGAAUGGUGAGAGGGAGAAGGAGAAGUUUAGACCGACACCAGGCUUCUGCCUUUAAAGGCUAGGGACCUACCAAGAAGGAAGGUGGUCCAAUUGCAUCCAUUCUUAACUUGGUAGUACACUGGAAACGUCAGCUUUGAAUCUAAUUAUGGGGCAGUCUCACAGUAAGCCCAGGCUGGCUUCAGACUCAGAUCUCCUGCCUGUGUAUAUGAGCCUAGGAUUGUAGGUGUGAGCCCCCAUACUUGAAUUGAUCUCAUUUUCUUUCUUUUUAUUGUAAACAUAUUUUUCCCUUGCAAUAUAUUCUGACUAUGGUUUCCCUUCUCUCUACUCCUUCCAGUUUCUCCCAGCUCUUCUCCCAUCUAGAACCACACCCUUUCUGGGUCUCCUUAGAAAACAAACAGGCAUCUGAGGGACAAUAACAAAAUAAGAUAAAACUAAAACAAAGGAACAGGACAAGAUAAACAAAAGGAAGACAGACCAAGAAAAGGUACAAGAAACAGAUAUAGACUCGGAAACACAGGCAGAGACAUACCCCUUCGCAUGUUUAGGAAUCUCAUAAACACACAAAACUGGAAGCCAUACUAUAUAUAUAAAACUUGAAGGGUACAAAAUAAUAAUAAUAAUAAUAAUAAUAAUAAUAAUAAAAAUAAAAAUAAAAAUAAAUGGUUUGUGUUCACUAUCUACUCCUGGGCACAUAGCCUACCUUAAGUGUGGUUUGUUUCCUCGGGGAGACUCGUUUGGAGAAAACCCAUUUUUCAUUGGCAAGAGACUAUCACUUGGAGAUAGCGUCACAGUUAGGGAUGGGGGCUUAUGUUCACAUCUCCUCUCAGCACUAGGACCUCAUCUAUUAAGCUCUAGUGCACGCUGCCUCAGUCUCAAUGAGCUCAAGUCUGCAUAGUCUUGCUGUGUUUAGAAGGCCUUAUUUCCCUGGAGUCCUCUAUCACCUCUGGCUCACAUACUUUUUUUUGCUUCCUCUUCAGCUGAGCUCCCUGAGCCCUGAGGGGAGGAAUUUGAUGAAGACAACCUUUUUAGGGCUGAUUGUUUCAAGGUCUCUCAUUCUCUGAAUAUUAUCUCCAUGUAGGUCUCUGUAUUUGUUCCCAUCUGCUGCAGGAGGAAGUUAUUGUGAUGAUGACUGAGCAAGGCACUGAUCUAUAAGUACAGUAGAAUGUUUAUUAGGAGUCAUUUUAUUACUACAUUCUUUACGUAGACUGGUAAUGUUUGGUUGUGCCCUAGGUCCCUGACUAUUUAGUCCCUGGUUCUUGGCACCCAAAUAGUGGAACAUAUGGAUUCCAGCCCAUGGAGUUAGCCUCAAAUCAAACCAGAUACUGGUUGGUUACUCCAACAAGCUUUGUGCCACCAUUGCAUUAGCAUUCCAUGCAGGCAGGGCACCAUUGUAGAUCAGAGGGCUUGUAGCUGAGUUGGUGAUUGCAGGUGCCUCUGGUACCAAGAAAUCUACACAAUGGGGUUGGAGACUCUAGGUAGACACCAGCUCCACUUCCCCAUGUUCAGUGAGUUGUGUGGGUGUUACUUCCAUGAUUUAAGGUAGGGCCUUGCCAUGAUUUUGUGGAGAGCAAACAGCAGCCUGGGUUGUUGCCAGGGUUCUCAUGAAUCUCAUUUCUUAACAGCAUAGACAUUCAAGUUAUUUUUCAGCUAGAGAAAAAAAAAAUCAGUUUAUUGAUGGGUUUGGUGGCACACACUUGGAAUCUUAGUACUUGACAGAUUGAGGCAGAAGAUCAGGAAUUCAAGGGUGGUUUAUCUUACAAAGCCAGUUAGUAUGGGAUUAUGUGAGACCUUGUUUCGAAGAAGAAGAAGGAGAAGGAGAAGGAGAAGG